UACGGAGGGUGCGAGCGUUGUCCGGAAUCACUGGGCGUAAAGGCGCGUAGGCGGCCUGAUAAGUAGGGGGUGAAAUCCUGCGGCUUAACCGCAGGGCUGCCCUCUAAACUGUCAGCUCGAGCACAGUAGAGGCAGGUGGAAUUCCCGGUGUAGCGGUGGAAUGCGUAGAGAUCGGGAAGAACAUCAGUGGCGAAGGCGGCCUGCUGGGCUGUUGCUGACGCUGAGGCGCGACAGCGUGGGGAGCGAACAGG
rnacentral:rRNA from 1 species